rfam:Paenibacillus sp. FSL A5-0031 NODE_16_length_175377_cov_1.5227_ID_5153, whole genome shotgun sequence.
GAAAUCCACUAGGGGCGCCGUAAUGGCUGAGAUAAAGCGAAUCGCUUUGGUCCCUUUGAACCUGAUCUGGGUUAUGCCAGCGUAGGAAAGUGGGAUUGUGCGUUU